GACGAACGCUGGCGGCGUGCUUAACACAUGCAAGUCGAACGAAGUGGCGAACGGGUGAGUAACGCGUAAUCAACCUGCCCUUCAGAGGGGGAUAACAGUUGGAAACGACUGCUAAUACCGCAUACUGAAGGAGGGGAUUGCGUCUGCUUAGCUAGUUGGAGGGGUAACGGCCCACCAAGGCGAUGAUCAGUAGCCUGUGUAAGAGAAGGAAGGGCCAGAUGGAGGCUGAGACACGAACCAGACUACUACGGGAGGAAGCAGGGGAGAAACUUCCGAAAUGGACGAAAGUAUGACGGGGCAACGCCGCGUGAGUGAUGACGGCCUUCGGGUUGUAGAGCACUGUUCAUGGGGACGCGGUACCGGAAUAGAAAGCCGCGACUAACGACGUGACAGCAGCCGCGGUAAUAC
rnacentral:rRNA from 1 species